UACGAAGGGGGCUAGCGUUGCUCGGAAUCACUGGGCGUAAAGCGCACGUAGGCGGAUUGCUAAGUCAGGGGUGAAAUCCUGGAGCUCAACUCCAGAACUGCCUUUGAUACUGGCGACCUUGAGUCCGGGAGAGGUGAGUGGAACUGCGAGUGUAGAGGUGAAAUUCGUAGAUAUUCGCAAGAACACCAGUGGCGAAGGCGGGUCUCUGGGCCGAUAUUGACGCUGAGGAGCGAAAGCGUGGGGAGCGAACAGG
rnacentral:rRNA from 1 species